CUUUCAGCAAGAUGGAAAAUAAGAGUAACUCCAAUUACCUAAUUCAGACAAGCCGUGAUAGAAUGUUGUGGCAAGUGCAAUAGAAUUCGUAAAGAAAUUUAGAUGGUUGACAAUAAUGUCGUUAGUAGAAAGCUUAAAACGACUACGGUUUAAGAGGGAAAAAGAAAAAUACAAAAUUCCAAAAAAAAAGGGACUAGAAAAACAUGCUCCAGAUAAUACUUGGGCAGUAAAAAGAUAUCUCUCUCUAACACCGCCUACAAGUAAUAAUCAUUGACGAAAAAUAUGGCGUGGAACUAGGAAGCUUCCGAGUUAUCUACAGUCUAUUCAACUAUCACCCAGGAGAGCCCAUAAACCAAUGCAAAAGUCACCCUAAAAACUGAAUAACAACAAGGUGUCCUAACCAGCUAAUAAAUGAUAACCAUGAAAAACAAAAUGGGACAGGUAAACAACGAUAACAGUAAUUACUUGGAAAGGACAACCCUAUAUAAAAGGACCAAACAGAGGGAAUAUGUAACAGUGACAAUGGUCACAACAAUCCGAAUAGUCAAAAUCAUUAACUGUAUGUCUUCCAAGGCAAUCAGAUCUGGUAAUGAUAAAAUGCACCAAUGGACACCAACGAAGCUCUUUUCUUUUAAAAGAUUUUCUACACUUGGUGAUGGUCAAAGUGGAAGGAAAAAGGGCGGUGAUGGGAUAUGAGCUCACACACCUAUUGCGAGGUUAACACCGUACUACUAGACUAUGAGCCUUUGUUGGCGACAAUGAAGAUCAAUCAUCACAUUUGGCAGAUCCCGGAAUGAGAUUUGCAGGGUAACAGACACACAAUGCAUCAGCUAAGGAAGUUUGAUACAACAAGAACUACGCCAUACGAAUCCUCACUGGCCACAUACUCCGUGUAAAUCAUAUCAAGCCAAUAUUAUUGCAAUUACCAGCUAAGGGAGUUUGAAAUUAUCAAAAUCCAUGUUAGCUAUAUAAAUCCAAUUAAGACAUUUAACCAUAACACCACAUCAAACUUGCAAUAAAUUUCACGACAUUGCCAAGAUUUUUGAUAAUUAAUACAUAUUCAAACAAUGCAUAAAGAUUCAAAAAGAUUUCAACUUUCCACUACUUACCUAAGUAGCAAAGAUCCUAGCCGUUGAUGCGCCCUAAAAUAUGACGGAUCCAAUCUAAUGGCUUCCUCACAUUCCUUCACAGCCUCCGCCACCCGUUUAAGACCCAUCAAUGCAGCUGCCCGAUUACAAUGGUAUGCAGAAUUUUCAGGCGAAAUCGCUAUAGCUUUAUCGUAAUAAUUCAAAGCCUCAGCAAAAUUACCCUUCUUAUAAUUCACAUUCCCUACUCUCUUCAACUCUUCUGGAUUUGAUGCAAACUGCGAGUAAGUUUUUUCUUUUACGGCAUUGGCAGCACCGCUAAUAUCAACCCCACCGCCCCGAAUUAUGCUGCCAAUGCCGUAAUUUCCGGUUCUUGACCCAAAAACAUCAGUCUUUGAAGAUUUGCUUGGAAUAGCUGUUUUUAAAAUUUUACCUGAAGGGCAAAUAUUGCCUGUGGGGAGUGAAUUUAAAGCAGGGGAAUUUACAGAGCCUCUACCGGAGUAGAUUAGCGGUUGAGAAUCGGACCGGGACCUGGUAUGGCCUGGUUUGAACCGACGUGAGCUAUCUACUGAACCGGAAAGUUCACCGGAGUGAUUCGUAUUGAACCUGUUAGGAUUCGGGUAGGAACCAUUCUGACCCGACAUUGAUCCGGAUGAGCUGGAGCUGCUGCUUGUUGAAGUUGUAACUCCAUUAGAUUUGGGGCGGGUUGAAACAGGUGAACUCAGAUCCAGUUCCCUGAAAUCCGGCUUGUUAAUGUCGGUGGGGUCGUUGUUAAAUUCAUUGAAGCUCAGUGAGUUUUUCAACCGAUCAGUUAACCCAUUAAGACCCAUUUCUGACAUUGGGUUUUUAGUUUAGAAAUGGGGAAGGAAAUGCUGAAAGAGAAGAUUUGAAGAACUGUACAUAGAAAGAGAGAGAAAGGGAAGGGAAAAGAAAGAGAAAAAGAGAUGGGGAUCUUGUGAUAUAUAAAAGGCAGAAGCAAAGAAUGAAUGCGAGCGCUGGCCUGCCAAAAUAGAGAGAGGAAACGAACAAGUGAAAGUAAGUUUUUUCCUUUUUCACUAUACUUUACAGAGAGAAAUGGGGUUUUACAGAGAGUAAUGGGUUUUACAGAGAUAGACCAAGGAAGGGAAAGAAUAAAAGAAAAACAAUGUAAUUUAUUACCCACUCCUAUAAUUUUAUCAAUUCCCAAAAUUCAAAUCAAAACUCUUCAUAAAAAUUACAAACAACAAAAAAACCAAUAAUUUCCUGUACCCAUUCACCUCUAUCCUAGUAAUAACAGCAAAUAAAAAUAAGACCGAAGUCAAAAAUAAUUAAACUCACUAUAAAUUUAUAAAUUAAAAACUGAGUAAGGAUCUUCAUAAAAAUUAAAAUCAAUGUAAUCUAAUAAACACCUUUACCAAUUAACUUUUCUUUUUAGACAUUGUUUGAAAUAUAUUUUAAUUAUAAAUAUUUCGGCUGGAACUGAAUGGGGAAUAAAUGGAAAGAGGUAAGAUUAACUGCUCUUUUAUUAAAUCUAACCAUGAUGACUGAGCAUUAUAGUUUCCUAAAUGUGAUUAGAGAACCUUAAAGCGGAAAUAUAUUUAUUGGUUUCUUUUUAAAUAAGAAAAAGAAAAUGGAUACCGAAGUAGGGGCAAAAGAGUAAAAGCAGGGGUACAGUUCUUGAGAGUAGUAGCUGGCCAUGUGCUUGAGAGCGGCAUGCCAGCUAGGCCCAUUCAGCAAUACCAAGGUGUUUGCAAUGAUGUCCAGCUUUGCACAUAACGGAUGGAGAUAACGGUGUCAUUCGUGACGCAAAUUCAUAUUUCCUGGGAAAAAAUUGGUUAAUUACGUGAAAUACCCCUAAAGAUAUCAAUCAGUUUCAAUACAGGUCUUAUACUUUAAAUUUAAGUAGGUACACAGUUACACCCUCUAUACUAUGAGGUAUAUCUGUAGCACGUAUAUUAAAAUGUAAUUAUUAAAACAUUAAAAAAAGUUUUGAACUAUUUAAUUUUUAAGAAAUAUAAAAAAAAGGAUAAAUCUGUUUUUAUAAAAAAAUAUUUAAGCCUUUGAUUAAAAAGGGAAUAUUUAUUUUCGAAAUAUGUAAUAUUUUAAAACUCAUGAAUAGGAAAUAAUAAAAAAAAGAUCUUGCACUUUAAAUAUGUAAGGUAGUAUAUAUAUUUUUAUUUAAUAAUGAUAUUUUUGUCUAUGGGAAUUUCUCAUUUUUAUUACUAAAAUAUUGUAUGAGCUAUUUAUAUAAUAUAAAAACAAUUACUCUCUAUGUUUUAAUUUAUUUGUCUUAAUUUUAUUGGGCACAAUAUUUAAGAAUAUAAGGAAGACAUUUAAAUGUUGUGGUCUUAAGCUGAAGAUAUAUAUAAUGUAUCAAAAUAUCCUUAAAUUUUAUGAUCAUAAAUAUGAUAUGUGAAAAGUUGAAGUCAAAGAGUUAUUAAAUAUAAAAAUAUAUUAUUUAAAAGAACAAAAACUAAUUUUUAAUAUUUGAAAAAAAUGGAAUAUCAAACCAAUUGAAAUACUGAAUUCUUAAAUUUAACUUUUAAGUGUCUUUGGAAUAUUCGGAAGGAGGUUGGGUCAAUUGGGGUGGAGCAGUAAGUCGGAGACAGGGGAGAAGUAGCUAUCACGGGCUAGGUGUUGGCAGAGACAUGGAAUUAUGAUCUCGCCACUAUCCUGCCAGGUCAGCAUAUAUAUUCACUCCUCUCUCCAGAGGCAUGGGCUGUUAUCAGGUGCACUACGCUCCACUCUGAGACAGUGAUCCUUUGGCUUUAUCCCAACAUGGGCAUGCAUUUUACAAGUAUAACAAAUAAAGGACUGCUGAUUUGGCAACAUGUGAUCACCAUGCUGCUAUUGGGCCCACUCUUAUGACGUGGCUUACCUAUACACUAUUAUGUUGGAUGAGCAUAAUGUAUAAAUAUGCCCUCAAACUUGGCAUUAGCUAGCAAUUAUGCCCUCCAAUUUUGGGUAUGCAUAAAUAGGCACCUUAACUUGUCUUCACUUUAUUAGUGGACACUCCAAUUUAUAAAAUGAUUAUCUAGAAAUUUCCAAAAUUAAUAUGUUAUAUUAGUAUUUGUGUUGUUUGCUUUAUGCAUUCAGCUUUUAUACAAGUUGAGGUGUUUACUUGUGCAUCCAAAAUCAAAAGGCAAACUUAUCAGCUGAGACCAAGUUUGAGGGCUCAUUUAUAUAUUAUACUUUUUUAAGUAUUAUACCUUGGACCUAACAUAUUUUCGCCUGGGGCCCAUUUGGUUUGGUUUUAAGAUAUCUUUGUUGUUCUUCUUCUCUUCCAAUGUAGUAAAUUGAUAUUUGUAUAUAAAUCAACUCAACUGUGUCUAUCACAAAAUAUAAAAUGAGGAAAAGUGUAAAAUUCGGUCAAAUGCAAGUAGAUGAAUUACCACAUAUGAAUACUUAUACGCAUCAAAACGUAAACCGGUUAUUAUGAGAUACUUAGCUGUUCCCUUUUUCCGGAUAAUUACUCAUAUGGAAAUUAAGUGGGCAUUUGGACAUAAGAAUUAUAAACGAAAAAUGUAUAAGUACCCAUUUAAUUUAUACCUGAAUUUUUAAUUAUAUUUUUUUUGCGAGAAUUUAUUAAUUUCUAAACUUUUUUAAAUGAAAUUAUUUACACCUAUAAUACUAACAAUCAAACUAUUGGUAAGUGGUGAACUACACGCGUCCCCCAUAUGUAGUUUUAAUACUUUUUUUAUUCUUUCUUUCUUUAUCUUAUCAUUUUUCUUAUUUCUUGUUAUUCUCAUUUUUUUUAAUUAUUUCAUUCUCUUUCUUUUUGUUUUGGUCACCGAUGGCAUAAAAUGGUGGUCGUCGGAAUUUCACGAACACCAUUAUUUUCGGCAAAUAUUUUUUUGCGAAAAAUUUUAUCCCGAUCUAAGAGUGUUUUAUUAUAUAUAUAGACAAUAAUAUCUUAGUAGAAAGCUUAAAACGACUACGGUUUAAGAGGGAAAAAGAAAAAUACAAAAUUCCAAAAAAAAAGGGACUAGAAAAACAUGCUCCAGAUAAUACUUGGGCAGUAAAAAGAUAUCUCUCUCUAACACCGCCUACAAGUAAUAAUCAUUGACGAAAAAUAUGGCGUGGAACUAGGAAGCUUCCGAGUUAUCUACAGUCUAUUCAACUAUCACCCAGGAGAGCCCAUAAACCAAUGCAAAAGUCACCCUAAAAACUGAAUAACAACAAGGUGUCCUAACCAGCUAAUAAAUGAUAACCAUGAAAAACAAAAUGGGACAGGUAAACAACGAUAACAGUAAUUACUUGGAAAGGACAACCCUAUAUAAAAGGACCAAACAGAGGGAAUAUGUAACAGUGACAAUGGUCACAACAAUCCGAAUAGUCAAAAUCAUUAACUGUAUGUCUUCCAAGGCAAUCAGAUCUGGUAAUGAUAAAAU
rnacentral:lncRNA from 1 species